rnacentral:rRNA from 1 species
UACGGAGGGAGCUAGCGUUGUCCGGAUUUAUUGGGCGUAAAGAGCGUGUAGGCGGCCAUACAGGUCCGUUGUGAAAACUGGAGGCUUAACCUCCAGACGUCGAUGGAAACCGUAUGGCUAGAGUCCGGAAGAGGAGAGUGGAAUUCCGGGUGUAGUGGUGAAAUGCGUAGAGAUCCGGAGGAACACCUGUGGCGAAGGCGGCCCCCCUGGGGCCGCACCUGACGCUGAGACGCGAAAGCGCGGGGAGCGAACGGG